CAGGGGAUCUUCCUGACCCAGGAAUCGAACCGGAAUCUCCUGCAUUGCGGGUGUAUUCUUUACUAACUGAUAUUUGAGGGAAGCCCUUAUCACCUUUACAAACAGAGGUAAAACAAUACAAGUUCUGUUCGUUUAACGGAGAGGAGGCAGCGCUGUCAGAACUCUCUUUGCUCCCUUGCCCCUUCCAGUUUCCUUUUACUAAAACCUGCUCCCCAUCAGAGGCAACUUCUUUCCUCUCCUUCCUUCCUCCAGGCACAGAGCCAGGUGGGCAGAGGCCCAUCCCUGGUACUUAAUUAGUCACAGGUUUGAAAUGCAGGGGCGGGUUGGAGACAGAGGAGUGAUUGGUGUGGGGUGGGAAUUUGGGGAUUCUUUUAUCCCCUGCAUCUCAAAGGCUGACAGGCUCUUGAGGGGUGGAAAUGACUGGUAAUUAGUGAACCUUCUACGCAGGCACUAAAGACGCACUUCACAGUCUGCAUGACCUCUGCAGCCCGGUGAGGCUUUGUUAUGUAGAUGCUCUUAAUUGGUUUAUAGAUCACCUCUUCUGGGCAAGGCUGAGAGUAUUUUGAAAUAUAAACUGGGUUCCCUACAGUCAAGGAACUGACCACCUAGUUGGGAAGAUAGUGGCAGAAACAAAUGCACAUAACAACAUCAAGUUGUAGGCAUCAAUGCCAAGCACACAGGAGAGCCUUUUAAUGAUGUUUCAGACCCCAAAGCAGUCAUCAAGGGUUGGAACAUUGGAGAACACUUGUCAACAAGAAGUAAUAAGCGCAGGUCGCAGAAAUCACAGAAGAAAAGCAGAAGCUCCUUCCCACACCGCUUCCCCAAAGCUGCUCCCUUCUCUGCUCCUGGUGGAUAUUUGCACUUCAGUAGAGAGAAAACAGCAGAACCUUUUAAGAUCUAAAGAGAAGGGAAAUCAGAGCUGCUGAUGCAUGGAGUUGGAAGAUUUAAGGAAUCAGUUCCUGUUUGUCUGGUUCUGGCCGACCCUAGAAUCAACUCCCUUGAUUGGAAAUAAACAGGAUUUUCCUUUCUGUCCCCAGGAAUGUGACGGAGGAAGGACUCUAGGGGAAAAGGCCUCGUCUGCCAAAGAAUAAUAAUAAUAACAAAGAUGACAGUAGGAAUAAAAUAUUGCCCUCUUCAUCGAGGGCGAUAAGGAAGUAUCCCGUUAUAUGUGUUGAGCCUUCUCACUCUGCAUAUACAUAUGUUAGAACUUCAGAAUGUUGCCCAGGUUUGAUUUGAACUUUUGUCCUGUGGCUGUCUUGAGUGUGCUGAACAAAUUGGGCUACAUGUCUCACCUUUGGUUUCAGAAAAUAGGACCCCAAUUACAGCACUUCAUGUUGACAUAGUACCUUAAAUGCCUGAGUAUGAACCUCUUUCCUGGAGGGUGUGUCUGUGUCAUGAGUGCCCCCAGUGCCUGGCAUGGGGCCUAGCCUUUGGAAACUGGGGCAGAGGGGCUGUGAUAAUAAAUGGGUGAGGCAGGGAGUCCUCCAGCUCCCUCUCUCUUGGCUGAGGAAUGGGAUGAACCUGGAUGACUGCGUGAACCUUCCCUUCCCCUUGGUGCUCCUGGGGCAGGGACAGGAAGAGCUUUAUGCAGGGAGAAACCCCAAGAAGACUCAGUCUCUCUGUUGAUUUCUGCAAACUCCUUGUGCUCAGAAGGAAUCAUUUGCGCACUUCUGGGCCAGCUGUAUAUGAGUUGGCUCUCUCCCCUCCCAAGGGGAGGUCCAUGUUACCUGAAGAAACUUACCUUUUGCUAUUUCUAUUAAAUUUCCCUUUUUGGUUAAGAAGGUGAUGAGGUAGAAGAAUGUCCCUGCCCUGCUCACUCUUCUGAUCUUCCUUGGUUCAGAGAUACAGAUACUUUUUCUCCUUCUCCUCUCCCUCCUGCUCCUUCUCCUCUCCCUCCCGCUCCUUCUCCUUGUUCCUCUGUUCUGAAGACUGACUUCCCAAAGCUGAGGGGAGUAAGGAGAGGUGAAUCCAGUCUGUUCCUAGAGAAGCCCUCCUCCACUACGUUAAACAGAUUUUUACUCUGCUGAAUAACUUUCAAUAGCUCCCUAUUGUCAUCAGUUUACAUUUCUAACAUUAAAGCCCACUUUAAUAUGA